rnacentral:lncRNA from 1 species
AAAGUCAAAAGAGAGUUUAAUUUUUAUUUUUAAUAUUAAUUUUUGUUUUUUAUUAAGAAUUUUAUAAUAACUACAAUUUUUUCAUUUUAUGCACUUUUAAUCUAUAAAGAGUAAAAAAAAUCUUAAUUUGAGUUGUUUUAUUUUUAGCAUUUUUUCACAAUUUGAGGAGCAAGUAAGAGAAAUUAGGAAAAUAUGGAUUAAUUGAUUAAAU